AGUCCAGUAAACAAACUCGUGACACAUCCUUGGCACUAAAGUGAUGGACAAAAACAAGCAGUUGAUUAUUUUCUCUUUGGCAAUUUGAUGCUGGUGGAAAACUAUUGCAUAAAUUGGAUACUAAGCUUGCAGUUAGCUCUAAUGGGGAGGAUGAACUCGCGAGCCUUAUUCAAACGUAAGGUUAUAUCAAACCUCGUUAGUUUAUUAAUAAUCAAAACAAACUAUGUGAAGUUUUGAAGAAAGAGAAAGAGAAAAUUGAUUAGACAAAUGGCCAUCCUUGUAGAGAUAAAAGGAUAUGAGUGUUCUUUGGACACAA